AUUUUAUUUACUUUUCUCUAUAUUUUUAUUUUGAUGAAAAAGCUUUUGAAUUCAAAGUAAAUUUUUAGUUUAACCUUUAGAAAAAAUAAAUCUUUAGAAAGUGUUUAGUAUUAUACAGUUUUAUAUUAAAUUAAACGUUGUUAAUAGUAAACAUAAUUUUAGAUUUUGAGUUGAAAGUUUUUUAUAUUGCUAAAUAUGUAUUUUAAAUCUAAUAGAACGGCAAUUUCAAUUUUAAAAAUUGAAAUUGCAUUGUAAAUAUACCCUAACAUCGAAACCGACAAAUGUUUAAUUUUU
rnacentral:misc_RNA from 1 species